rnacentral:rRNA from 1 species
UACGUAGGGGGCGAGCGUUGUCCGGAAUCAUUGGGCGUAAAGAGCUCGUAGGCGGUUCAGCAAGUCGGCUGUGAAAUUCCGAGGCUCAACCUCGGAACUGCAGUCGAUACUGCUGUGACUCGAGUCCGGUAGAGGAGAAUGGAAUUCCCGGUGUAGCGGUGAAAUGCGCAGAUAUCGGGAGGAACACCGAUAGCGAAGGCAGCUCGCUGGGACGGUACUGACGCUAAGGCGCGAAAGCGUGGGGAGCGAACAGG